GUGCUCCAGCAGCACUAAAAUUGGAACCAUACAGAGAAUAUUAGCAUGACCCCUGUGCAAGCAUGACACACAAAUUCAAGAAGCGUUCCAUAUUUUA
rnacentral:snRNA from 1 species